UACGGAGGGUGCAAGCGUUAUCCGGAUUCACUGGGUUUAAAGGGAGCGUAGGUGGGGUGGUAAGUCAGUGGUGAAAUCUCCGGAGCUUAACUCGGAAAGGUCAACUGAUACUGUGCGGCUAGAGUGCGGAAGGGGCAACUGGAAUUCUCGGUGUAGCGGUGAAAUGCGUAGAUAUCGAGAGGAACACCUGCGGCGAAGGCGGCUUCCUGGCCUGUUCUUGACGCUGAGGCGCGAAAGCUAGGGGAGCAAACGGG
rnacentral:rRNA from 1 species